AGAGCAGAGGAAGUGAUGUAGAUUUAUUAGAUAUUAAAUAAUAAGAAUAGUUUGUUAUAUAAGCAUGUUUUAUAAUUGUACUUAGAUAGUUAUUCAAACAUAAAUUUAUCUUAAGUUAAACUAUAUUAAAAAUGUAGACACCAAGUCACAACAUAAAACAGAUAAAAGUCAGCAAAGUAAAAAGAGUAAAGCUUAGUAUUUAGGUGUGAACACUAGAGGAGAAAAAAUAGAAGUGCCUCUUUAACGGAUUGUCAUAGGCUGAUGAGAUCCCAGAGGGCUCUUAGAAUAAAGACACCAAGUCACAAAGUAAGACAAAUAAAAAGGCCGCAAAGUAAAAGAGUGAAGCUGAGCACUUAAGUCUGGACGCUUGAGGUGGAAAAAUAGAAGAGGCUCUUCGACGGAUUGUCAAAAGCUGAUGAGAUCCCAGAGGGCUCUUAGG